AAGUCGUAACAAGGUUUCCGUAGGUGAACCUGCGGAAGGAUCAUUAGCGAGUGGUUUUCCCGCGAGGGAGCUGCCCGACCUGUUGUCAUUUGCGCCGGGGGUGGGGGAUGUGUCGGCGAGAGGGUACCCGGAGGGGACGUUUGUCUCGGAAGGGGGGCCUGGGGCCGGCGCACCGCCGCACCGGGAUUUAAACUUCGGCGGAAGAGGCAGGCGUCGACCUGCCCGCCGCCGGCGGCAAGUCUUUACAUCUUGAGGAGAAGCUGAAGUCUGAAGAAGUGAAAAACGAAGAAGAAGCAAAACUUUCAACAACGGAUCUCUUGGCUCUG
rnacentral:misc_RNA from 1 species